UUAAGCGACUAAGCGUACACGGUGGAUGCCCUGGCAGUCAGAGGCGAUGAAGGACGUGCUAAUCUGCGAUAAGCGUCGGUGAGGUGAUAUGAACCGUUAUAACCGGCGAUUUCCGAAUGGGGAAACCCAGUGUGUUUCGACACACUAUCAUUAACUGAAUCCAUAGGUUAAUGAGGCGAACCGGGGGAACUGAAACAUCUAAGUACCCCGAGGAAAAGAAAUCAACCGAGAUUCCCCCAGUAGCGGCGAGCGAACGGGGAGGAGCCCAGAGCCUGAAUCAGUGUGUGUGUUAGUGGAAGCGUCUGGAAAGGCGCGCGAUACAGGGUGACAGCCCCGUACACAAAAAUGCACAUAUUGUGAGCUCGAUGAGUAGGGCGGGACACGUGGUAUCCUGUCUGAAUAUGGGGGGACCAUCCUCCAAGGCUAAAUACUCCUGACUGACCGAUAGUGAACCAGUACCGUGAGGGAAAGGCGAAAAGAACCCCGGCGAGGGGAGUGAAAAAGAACCUGAAACCGUGUACGUACAAGCAGUGGGAGCCUCUUAAUGGGGUGACUGCGUACCUUUUGUAUAAUGGGUCAGCGACUUAUAUUCUGUAGCAAGGUUAACCGAAUAGGGGAGCCGAAGGGAAACCGAGUCUUAACUGGGCGUUAAGUUGCAGGGUAUAGACCCGAAACCCGGUGAUCUAGCCAUGGGCAGGUUGAAGGUUGGGUAACACUAACUGGAGGACCGAACCGACUAAUGUUGAAAAAUUAGCGGAUGACUUGUGGCUGGGGGUGAAAGGCCAAUCAAACCGGGAGAUAGCUGGUUCUCCCCGAAAGCUAUUUAGGUAGCGCCUCGUGAAUUCAUCUCCGGGGGUAGAGCACUGUUUCGGCAAGGGGGUCAUCCCGACUUACCAACCCGAUGCAAACUGCGAAUACCGGAGAAUGUUAUCACGGGAGACACACGGCGGGUGCUAACGUCCGUCGUGAAGAGGGAAACAACCCAGACCGCCAGCUAAGGUCCCAAAGUCAUGGUUAAGUGGGAAACGAUGUGGGAAGGCCCAGACAGCCAGGAUGUUGGCUUAGAAGCAGCCAUCAUUUAAAGAAAGCGUAAUAGCUCACUGGUCGAGUCGGCCUGCGCGGAAGAUGUAACGGGGCUAAACCAUGCACCGAAGCUGCGGCAGCGACACUAUGUGUUGUUGGGUAGGGGAGCGUUCUGUAAGCCUGUGAAGGUGUGCUGUGAGGCAUGCUGGAGGUAUCAGAAGUGCGAAUGCUGACAUAAGUAACGAUAAAGCGGGUGAAAAGCCCGCUCGCCGGAAGACCAAGGGUUCCUGUCCAACGUUAAUCGGGGCAGGGUGAGUCGACCCCUAAGGCGAGGCCGAAAGGCGUAGUCGAUGGGAAACAGGUUAAUAUUCCUGUACUUGGUGUUACUGCGAAGGGGGGACGGAGAAGGCUAUGUUGGCCGGGCGACGGUUGUCCCGGUUUAAGCGUGUAGGCUGGUUUUCCAGGCAAAUCCGGAAAACCAAGGCUGAGGCGUGAUGACGAGGCACUACGGUGCUGAAGCGACAAAUGCCCUGCUUCCAGGAAAAGCCUCUAAGCAUCAGGUAACAUCAAAUCGUACCCCAAACCGACACAGGUGGUCAGGUAGAGAAUACCAAGGCGCUUGAGAGAACUCGGGUGAAGGAACUAGGCAAAAUGGUGCCGUAACUUCGGGAGAAGGCACGCUGAUAUGUAGGUGAAGCGACUUGCUCGUGGAGCUGAAAUCAGUCGAAGAUACCAGCUGGCUGCAACUGUUUAUUAAAAACACAGCACUGUGCAAACACGAAAGUGGACGUAUACGGUGUGACGCCUGCCCGGUGCCGGAAGGUUAAUUGAUGGGGUUAGCGGUAACGCGAAGCUCUUGAUCGAAGCCCCGGUAAACGGCGGCCGUAACUAUAACGGUCCUAAGGUAGCGAAAUUCCUUGUCGGGUAAGUUCCGACCUGCACGAAUGGCGUAAUGAUGGCCAGGCUGUCUCCACCCGAGACUCAGUGAAAUUGAACUCGCUGUGAAGAUGCAGUGUACCCGCGGCAAGACGGAAAGACCCCGUGAACCUUUACUAUAGCUUGACACUGAACAUUGAGCCUUGAUGUGUAGGAUAGGUGGGAGGCUUUGAAGUGUGGACGCCAGUCUGCAUGGAGCCGACCUUGAAAUACCACCCUUUAAUGUUUGAUGUUCUAACGUGGGCCCCUAAUCGGGGUUGCGGACAGUGUCUGGUGGGUAGUUUGACUGGGGCGGUCUCCUCCUAAAGAGUAACGGAGGAGCACGAAGGUUGGCUAAUCCUGGUCGGACAUCAGGAGGUUAGUGCAAUGGCAUAAGCCAGCUUGACUGCGAGCGUGACGGCGCGAGCAGGUGCGAAAGCAGGUCAUAGUGAUCCGGUGGUUCUGAAUGGAAGGGCCAUCGCUCAACGGAUAAAAGGUACUCCGGGGAUAACAGGCUGAUACCGCCCAAGAGUUCAUAUCGACGGCGGUGUUUGGCACCUCGAUGUCGGCUCAUCACAUCCUGGGGCUGAAGUAGGUCCCAAGGGUAUGGCUGUUCGCCAUUUAAAGUGGUACGCGAGCUGGGUUUAGAACGUCGUGAGACAGUUCGGUCCCUAUCUGCCGUGGGCGCUGGAGAACUGAGGGGGGCUGCUCCUAGUACGAGAGGACCGGAGUGGACGCAUCACUGGUGUUCGGGUUGUCAUGCCAAUGGCACUGCCCGGUAGCUAAAUGCGGAAGAGAUAAGUGCUGAAAGCAUCUAAGCACGAAACUUGCCCCGAGAUGAGUUCUCCCUGAGACUUAGAGUCUCCUGAAGGAACGUUGAAGACGACGACGUUGAUAGGCCGGGUGUGUAAGCGCAGCGAUGCGUUGAGCUAACCGGUACUAAUGAACCGUGAGGCUUAACCUU
rnacentral:rRNA from 4 species